UACGUAGGGGGCGAGCGUUGUCCGGAUUUAUUGGGCGUAAAGGGCGCGUAGGCGGCUUUGCAAGUGACGGGUGAAAGCCCUCGGCUUAACCGAGGAACUGCCUGUCAGACUGUAAGGCUUGAGACCGGGAGAGGUGAGUGGAAUUCCCAGUGUAGCGGUGAAAUGCGUAGAUAUUGGGAGGAACACCAGUGGCGAAGGCGGCUCACUGGACCGGAACUGACGCUGAGGCGCGAAAGCGUGGGGAGCAAACAGG
rnacentral:rRNA from 1 species